rnacentral:rRNA from 1 species
GUGCCAGCAGCCGCGGUAAUACGAAGGGUGCAAGCGUUACUCGGAAUUACUGGGCGUAAAGCGUGCGUAGGUGGUCGUUUAAGUCCGUUGUGAAAGCCCUGGGCUCAACCUGGGAACUGCAGUGGAUACGGGGCGACUAGAGUGUGGUAGAGGGUAGCGGAAUUCCUGGUGUAGCAGUGAAAUGCGUAGAGAUCAGGAGGAACAUCCAUGGCGAAGGCAGCUACCUGGACCAACACUGACACUGAGGCACGAAAGCGUGGGGAGCAAACAGGAUUAGAUACCCUGGUAGUCCACGCCCUAAACGAUGCGAACUGGAUGUUGGGUGCAGUUUGGCACGCAGUAUCGAAGCUAACGCGUUAAGUUCGCCGCCUGGGGAGUACGGUCGCAGGACUGAAGCUCAAAGGAAUUGACGGGGGCCCGCACAAGCGGUGGAGUAUGUGGUUUAAUUCGAUGCAACGCGAAGAACCUUACCUGGCCUUGACAUGUCGAGAACUUUCCAGAGAUGGAUUGGUGCCUUCGGGA